rnacentral:lncRNA from 1 species
CCUUCUCAGUUGCGUUCUCCAGUGCGUGUAACAGCUCUCGCCCCAUCUCGCCUCAUUCUGUCUCCGAAGUCCCAACCCUAGCGAGAAAAGGGUGGGAUAGAUCUCCGGAGGCGUUAAGGGCAACGGCGGUAGUAGCGAAGACCUGUUUCAAGAAGAACCGGAGUCACCUUGGAAGCGGUAGCGACGCCAGAGAUGUGCCUCAUCUC